ensembl:rRNA 5S_rRNA 5S ribosomal RNA
GCAUUCAGCCAUACAGUCUUGAAUGCUCCUGAUCUCAUUUGAUCUCAGAAGCUAAGCAGGGUUGGGCCUGGUUAAUACCUGGACAGGAGAAACGUCAUUUCUUUAUCAAUAAUUGCUGCUUGUU